GGCAAACUGCGUACAUAGUGGCCCACGGAGACACAGGAUCAGCAGCAUGCGAGACAUGUUUCUUGUAGUACAUUUCAUCAUUCAUAAUGAAAUCGAAGUUGUGCCUGGGUCCUGGGUUGAUGGUACGAUGUGCAAGUGGCCAAAAGCAGCGUCACACAAAGUUAGGACAAUGGUUACCAAAAGUGCUCCUGCGCAAGCUUCGUGGGCCGUGUAUGAAGUGACAGUGAAGGGUGUCUUUGGUAAGUUUGAAAGAGUCUACUAUAAAGACUUUUAUUUUUCCUUUCCUAAUUUUUCACAAAUUGGGAAGA